AUUGAACGCUGGCGGCAGGCCUAACACAUGCAAGUCGAGCGGAUGAAGGGAGCUUGCUCCUGGAUUCAGCGGCGGACGGGCGAGUAAUGCCUAGGAAUCUGCCUGGUAGUGGGGGAUAACGUCCGGAAACGGGCGCUAAUACCGCAUACGUCCUGAGGGAGAAAGUGGGGGAUCUUCGGACCUCACGCUAUCAGAUGAGCCUAGGUCGGAUUAGCUAGUUGGUGGGGUAAAGGCCUACCAAGGCGACGAUCCGUAACUGGUCUGAGAGGAUGAUCAGUCACACUGGAACUGAGACACGGUCCAGACUCCUACGGGAGGCAGCAGUGGGGAAUAUUGGACAAUGGGCGCAAGCCUGAUCCAGCCAUGCCGCGUGUGUGAAGAAGGUCUUCGGAUUGUAAAGCACUUUAAGUUGGGAGGAAGGGCAGUAAGUUAAUACCUUGCUGUUUUGACGUUACCAACAGAAUAAGCACCGGCUAACUUCGUG
rnacentral:rRNA from 1 species